rnacentral:lncRNA from 1 species
AACAAAGCCGGAAUAAGGUGUAGGAAAGCAUUUUUAGGUUAGAGAGGGGUAAAGCUCCCGAAUCCACAGUGCUACAGGAACAAAAUAAAAUUUUCUUUAGGAUUAUUCUCUAAAAUUUUGCUUUUAUAUUGAACUUUACCAAUUUUAAGCAAAAAUAUCUUCAGUUUUUAAAACCUUAUUUUCUUCCUGUUCUCAAAAAUAUACUUACAUCAUCACUCAAAAUUGCUAACUUAUAGUUGGUAUUCAUGAAGACAAUGAAUCUGUAUAUCUAAAGGGUAAAAAUCAAAACUCUAAAUAAAUGAAAAGUAAUUUAUACAAAUAAAGUAAGAAGGAUAUGAAAGAAUUUAUUGUAAAUCAUAUACUGACUACUUUGGUCAGUUUCUCCCUCACCUGAUCCUUCCUUUGUUCACCCAACUGUGUGUCACUCUUCUUUGGUAAGGAAUCCUUUGAAUCUUCAAUCUUAACCUUUGAUUUAUUCUGACUCUGGCCCCGUUUUGUUUUAGUUCUCUCUUCUUUAAACAUCUCUGACUUUUGAGGUAGGACAUUAUCGAGUUGAGUCUUAUUUCUUUCAGUUUCCUGAUUGUGAGAAAUCAGUUUGUUAGGUUUAAGUCACAUUUCCCUCUAAAAAGCACAUACUUCAGGAAUCUGCACACACUGAUACCUAAAUUCUCUCUAACUCAUCUGAUGAAGUUAGGUUAAACCAUCUGCUAUAAUUCCACAGCUUUAUAAUUAGAAUUAAUUAAAGAUAUUUGCAUGUUGAAAAAAUUUAAAAAACAUUUUCCACUUUUUUCUUAUUAAAAUAAAGCACAGACAUUUUCCCAAGUUGCCAUCUUCAAGGCCAUGAUGUGUAAUGACACCCUAAAAGGACAUCUAAGGGGUGGGGGUGCUUAAUAUACCAGGUAUCAGAAUUUUUUUUUACAAAGAAAAAUUUGAAAAAGAAAAUUCACACCAAAAAAACCUCCCUCAUCACAUAGAAAAAUCACUCAAUAUAUGUAUUCUCUGGUAUGUUUAUGGAUAUACAUUUUGAUGGCACAUAUACUAUAUUAUGCUAUACACAUAUAAUAUGGUCUUUUUAUUCAAAAUGUUAUAUUUUUACAGCAAAAGUAUAUAGUCAAAAAUAGAAAUCAAUAUAUUUAGUAAAAUGACAAUUUCAAAUUUUCAAAUAUUUUACCAGUGUACAUUUUGGUCAUUUCAAACCUUUUACAUUACACCUUAAUUGAAAGUUUUUUUUUUCUUUUCAUUUUUUCUUUAGAAAAAACUUUUAGAAGUAAACUUGGUAAAUGAAAUGGUUACAUUUCCCCAAGAAUUUCAAUGAAUAUUUCCUUUCAAAAAGGUAAUUCAUGCUGAUAUAAUAGAAAUAUGGGAAAGAUUGUAUACUUUGGCUUAUACCCAAAAGCAUUAGAUAUAUCUGUUCCUAAGUUUUAACAAAGUUGUGGGUGAGAAGCAUCUAUUGCUAAAGUGAAAUUUAAUAAUCAAUGAGGUAUAUAUAUUUAUAUCUAUUUCUAUCUAUCUAUCUAUCUAUCUAUCUAUCUAUCUAUCUAUCCAUCUAUCUAUUUAUCUAUCUAUAUCUGUGUUUUGUUGAGCAUGUUUUUUUAUCAUAAUUUACUUAUUUGGGUUUUCUUGGUUAUUCCAGUGAAGUUUAUGAAAUACCUUUAUAUAAAAUAUUUGAUACUAUCUAUAUUGUAUCCUGGACGAGAUUCUCAGUUUCAUGCUUUCAGUUCCAGAGCAUGCUCUUCCUGAGCCAUGCAGAGCAACUGAUAGAAAACCCUUGUAACUUACAAACCAGAUAUCAAGGUUGAAGACAACUCAAACCAUAAUUUACAACUUGAAAAUUGUAAAUUUAGGGGAUGCUGGCUAAUUAGUUAGGAACACUGAAUGCCCUUCCCAAAGCCUCAGGUUUUACAUUUACAGCACCCACAUGGUAGCUUGCAACUGACUGUGACUCCAGUUCCAGAGGAUCUGGUGCCAUUUUUAGCCUCUGAGGGCAUUGCACACACAUGACACACAUACAUACAUACACACAUUUUUAGCCUCUGAGGGCAUUGCACACACAUGACAAAACAUCCAUACACUUAAAGUAAAUAAAAUAUAUAAUAUAAUAUAAUAUAAUAUAAUAUUGUAAACUUAGUAAAGUCAAAUUCAUCUUAUGGGUAAUAAUCCUUAGAAAGGUUUGCUUAACCAGAAUGUCUGAUCUUUUGACAGUGAUAUUUAGUUUUUGUCAUUUUGACACAAACUAUAGUCACCUGGGGAGACAGAGCCUCAGCUGAAGAAAUGCCUCCAUCAGGAGGCAUUCCUGUGGGGCAUUUUCUAGAUUAAUGGCUAAUAGAGUAGGCUUCAGCCCAUUGUGAGUGGUGCCAACCAUAGGCAGGAAGUUCAAGGAAACUAGUUGAGCAAAAGGCACAAGCAAGACAGUAAGCAGUUCCCUCCAUGGCUCCUGUCUUUAUCCCUGCUUGACUUCCUGUCCUGACUUCCCUCAAUGAUCAGGACAAAUAAACCCUUUCCUUCCCAGGUUGCUUUGGUCAGUGUUUUAUACCAGCAACAGAAAGCAAACUAGGAAAGACACUGACACGAUAUUAUCAUCACACUCACAUCUGUGCUGGGAUGCAUGCAACCCACACUGGUCACACUGGCUAGACAAUAAUAUGUCACUCAAUUAUCAUUUAUGUUCAUUUGUAACUCUGGUACUUUAAAACAACCAGUACUGUAUUAGCCUAUCUUUUCCAUAAAUGCUUACUUGGUGUGACUAUUUUAUUCUUCUAUAAAAACUUUUAGUACUAAAAGUUGUUAAAUAGUAUAUUAUCAUGUUAAUGUAAUGCAUCCCUACUUUACAUUCAGCACCAGAAGUGGAAAUGCUUUCAUCACUGAAAUCUUACAGUACUCAUUCUUGUUGGAUGAAGAUAACUGCCGUAAUUGUUCUUCUUUUACAUAACCAAGGUUCUUAUCCCUUAUAUCUUACAGUAGUUUUCUUAUACUCAAAAAUAAUUGUAUUUGCAUUUAUGAGCUGAUUUCUUUAUACUUAUGUAUCAAUUUGAGAAACAUGGUAGAUUAGAAUACUGAUAAUAUAGAACUUUGAAAUUGAAAAACUUAUGCUUUGUCACUCUUCAUCUAUGACCCUUCCAAAAAAACUACCUGUAUUUUUGUUAAAUGUAUAUCAUUCUAAUUUUUUGCAUUACAUUUUCUGAAUAAUGUAAUUGAAUAAACAUCUUGGAC